GAAUAAAUGGACACAUGAAGUUCCCAUAAAUUUGAAAUUUGGGGAGAUUGAGGCAAAGUACAAAGAGACAGCCCUGGACUUCAGCCCAAGCUUCCUGCUCCCUCCUGGCUCCCACAAUAGGGAUUUUUUUGUAUGUCCAUCUCUCAGGAGACCUAAUGGAGAGGCUGUUGUGUUACUGGGUGAACCCACGAACUAUUCCCCCAUCUGGAUGGUUUCAUCUGAGAUUUCUUUCCAUCUACAUAACUGAGGAUUUGGGCAGACUGAGGUAUGGUGCACCAGCUUGGGACCUGCAGAAUAUUUGACAUCAUCUCUGAAGCUCUGCAAAGAGAAUCUUCAGAAGCAAAAGCAUGAACCACUCACAGCUGGAGAUGAAGGAUCUCUGACCUUGUGUGUGUCUCCCAAGUUGGACUUUAUUCAGUUCUCAAUAGAUUCCCAACUAUUAUUUUUGCCAUCUUAAAAAUAAUACAGAUGAUACAUGCUUGUGGAUA